UUAGCUAGCAGACAAACAGUUUUGCUUCAUCGAGAAGAAAGAGAGAAAGAGAUUGGCCAGUGGCCCAGCCCCCAAUCCCCAUCCCCCGAUUUCUCUCCCUCUCCCUUUCCCUCGUCUCUCGCCGCCGCCACCACCGGUGCCCUCCCCCCGCCGCCGCCACCACUGCCGCCUAGGCGUGGCGCUGCUCUUCCCCACCCGGAGACCUGUGGCCUUUGCCGUGGCUCGCCGCGCGGCUCAGCAGCGUCGUGCGCCGUGCUCAGGAGUGCUGCAACACCGUGUACGGCAUCCUCGACGGCGUCGUCCAGGAGCACUUGGAGAGGAUGCACGGCGGCGGAGGCCAUGACGAGGACCUGGGAUCGUGGUGAUUUCGAGCAGGGCGGCGGGUGUCUAAGAAAUGAGAGGCGGGUGGUCAGGCCCGGGGAGUUGCAGGCUUACCUCGCAGAGCCGGAAAUAUGUCGUGAGGGAGAUCCAGCCAGCGCCGGACAAACCAAGGGAUUUCCCCUGGAUUCGGCGGGGUCCAAGUGUGAUCUGAAACUACCAGCGGCUGGGCUACGAGGCUAGUGAUUAUAUAGCUGGGUGCGGGGAAAAGGAUGGAAUCGACGUGCUGAAGUAGGCCCUGGCUCGGGGAGGCGACCUCCAUCGCCGCCACGUGAGGAGCAGGGGUGGAGGUUGCUCUCGGGGACGAGAGGAGCACAACAGGGGAUUGUUCAGAGGGUAGGCCAAGGGACAGCCGAAUCGAGUCAAGGUCGUCAGGGUGUGAAUCCCGCGUUCAUCCUAUAAAACACGGAGCGGCAGGGGCUCUACCCGCACCCAGACGUCGACCUCAAGAAGCUGCGCCGGCUCAUCCUCGAGGUCGAACGACCCCAGGCCCGACCUCAAUGAGUGCCCAAUCUGCUUCCCGUUCUAUCCGAGCCACAGUUGACAAGUGCUGCGCCAACUGGUUCUUGUGGAUCGUGUUGGUCGUUCUGGGGCAUUAGAGUGGGCCAACUACCUGACGACGGGCAAUAUCGAGGUGUUGUUGGUGUAGUGAUUGCUCGGCCGUGAUCAUGAGACCUUUUCCUAUUUUAUUAUUGAUAGUGUGACGAGAAGUCAGAGCGACAAAUCUGAAGCGACUCCUCCCUGGUUGGAGGGUCCAUGCUGGAAUCAUUUGAGAUCGUCGCAUGAGUUUCUUCUGAAACUUUAAGGUCUGGGAUGGUGGAUGUAUUGAGCUUGAGGAGAAGAUCAGCCACUCCAUCCACGAUGACGCACUCAACCCUAGGUAUCUGCAAAACAUCUUAGUUUCUAUGUAUUCCUGGGUCAGCUAGCUAUUAGUUUUAAGUCACAACCUACAAAUUUCAGAAAUUCGUUGGAUAAAUAUUUGAAUAUGAUUUUUUUUCUAAGAAAAGAGGCAUACAAUUUGGAAAAUAGAACCUUCAGCAUGGGUCUGGAGGUAGCAGCAACCCAAUCAAGCUAUACAAGCACCUGAGAUCACUCUGUGUGCCAUGUCGCCGGUUGCAUUUUCUUUGUGUUAUUUCAUUCCAUCAUAAGAAAGGUUAGUUUGAAAUAUGUGGCCAUUGGGAGUUCAGAAAUGUGGCAGAUUUUUUCUUUAGAUUAUGCGCUUUGCAUGGUCAUCUAUCUGUUGUGAUGUCUGCAUUCUAUAAAAUCAUAUUUUGAUGAUGUGAUUACUUCAGAUACUUGGUGCUGGUGACUAAUCGCAUUUCGUAUCUAUUGGUGUCUGAUCAUCUGAUUUUCUAAGUCUUCCCGUUGCUUACCCAAAAAGUCAUACGAAGAGUAGUCAGAUUUAGUGUGGCAGUUCUUAUGCAACAUUUCUGUAAAUAUGCUGGCAGCUCGAAUGCACUGAUACGGAUACGGGUAUCAGUAUCGGGCCAAUACGGAUACGUAAAUUCGUCAUUUUCAAAAAGUGCCAAUACGGAUACGUUGCAGGUACUUAAAGCAAUCUGGAGGAGAUGAGGAUGACAGAUCUUCAGAGAUCAGAGAAGAAAGGAGAGGAGAUGAGCUUGGCUGGGCAGGAGAAAUGGAGAAGAGAAGUGUCCAUACUUGGCUGUUGCGUGAGAGGGGACGUUGGUGAGUAGGAGGAGGAGCUCGUCGCCGGCUAGCCUCCACCGCUGCUGGCCCUGGGACCUGGGUGAGCAGCCGCUGGCGACACAGCCGCCACCUGGUGUGAGCAUGGGAGGGAGGAAAAACGUUGUGAGGGAAAGGAUGGGGGCAUCGGGGUACUAGAGUUGCUGGUUGCUUCUUAACUAGGCUGAGCGGGCUCUUACUUGGGCUGGAAAAGUAUCCAAAACGUACUGGCGAAGUAUCCUUAGAGUAUUGUAAUUGUUUUAAAUCAUUUAUUCUCGGAUACUCCAAUGAUACGUAUCGGGGGCGUAUCGGUAUCGGAUAUGGUAUCCGAUACAUAUUCGCUGGUCGGUUGAAGUAUCCGUGCAUUUGAGACUGGCAGAGUUCCUUCCAUGGCUCCCAGCUUCUGUUUCAUCUGACGAGCAUCAAGAUAUAUAUUUUUUACCGUGGAGUAUCGAUCGAGAUGUCCAUAACUGCUUAUGUAAAAUAGUUCCUGAAGAGAAACUUCUUAAGCAGGUCUCACAAUUGUGCUUCUUUACAGUUUCUAGCACUAACUUGCUUAGUGUCCUGUUAACUUGCUUGGAUCUAAUAUACAGGCGCAAAGUUGUGUUCUCCCACGAGGUGUCUCAGGGCUUUGCCAGCUGCUACUGCUAUGGAUAUCAUCUGCUGCACGAUUGCUAGCUUUCCUAUGUUUGAGUUGUUUCUGCCAUCUACUGGUUCGGAAUAAUUUUUUUAUGUAACACUUGCUUGGAUACGGUUCAUACUUUCUAACUUAGCAAAGCUAAUAUGUUUUUGCAUUAUGGCAACUUCUCUUUCAUAAAGGAAGGCCAACUUAUUCAUGUUUGAUAUGCAUUCAUACAUAAAAGGCACCGGACCCAUGAGCUUUACUGCCAUUGAUAAAUGACGCCAUGUAGCGAGAUGUUCACACAAGCAGACCAAACACAAGCUUGCAAAAAAGAACAGAGAAGGGGUGCACACAACCUGGCACCGCCCAUUGCACCUCUCAGGCUUACUUGGCACUUUAUCUUGCACUGUUCUAUAUUAGACAGUUCAGAUUAUUUUUUCAGGCAGUGUACAUAUGUGUAUUAUACUGUACUUACUGCUUAUCAUCGUCUAUAUGACCAUGACAUACUUUUGUGCAGGAUCGGAUAGAUGGGAGGUGGAUCUGAAUAUAUUCCAGACAGAGGAAUUAUUUAGAGACUAAAGGUAAUAUGUCUGAUAAAGCAUAACUGCACCUUUUCUGCUAUCUUCUGUAGUAUAUUUUGUUACAAAGAUUAAAAACAUAAUAUUGGUAGAAAUGAUUUCCAUUUGUUCGCCAUGAACCUUGCAGUUGGCUUGCUUCUGCACUAGGGGAAUGCUUGCAUUAGAUCAUCAAAGUUAAUUACUAUUAUAUCACUAUCUACAUGUUAAAUGUGUCUAUAGUGAUUGAACAACUCUCAUUAAUAGAUGUAGCCAUCGAACAGAAGGCGUUUUUUUUUAACUCAGUUAUAAUGAUGGCUUUUAUAGUGGCAGCGCUCGACGAGAUCCUCCCCAACCUGACCCCUCAUUCUUCCUUGUCUAUAUGAUGCAGGUGCUCCUCGCCUCUUCGCCCCCGCCCCCCUCGAAAGGUCACAAGCUGCCAUCUUUAAUAUAUUUUGUCAGUAGGUUGAGAUCACCUCUGUAUGAGUGUAUGAUCUGAGACUUAACUAUGUACUGUUGAUUUAUGGCAUGAUGAUUGCUGAUUGAUUUCGAUUGCAUGGGAAUUCUGGGGAGAGCAAGGGAAAAGCUAUGGGGAACUUGUGUAUUACUGGCGCCAGCAGUUGAUGGAAUGGGGUUUGCUACCGCUUGAUGUGGCUACAGAGGUCUUUGCGAAGAAACAGGGUCUGAAACUGAGGUCACCGGUCAAAACGCCUUCCACGCAGAGAAGGGCAAGUUCUCUAACCAAGAAGAUACUGCUGUUAGGCGAUAAGAAAACCAACUCAGGUACAAAGGGAAAAACCACAGCGCAAAAGAAGAGAGCAUCUAGCGACAUAGAUGACGACGAGGACGACGACUUUGUCAAAACCAACUCAGCCACAAAGGGAAAAACCACGACACAAAAGAGAAAGAAGGCAUCUAGCAACACAGACGACGACGACGACGACGGUGACUUUGUCAUGCCUAAGAAGCCCAAGAAGCAAUAGAUUUCUUAGCUAAGUAUCUGAUCCUUAAACAAGGCAUGUGUCCUUUGUGUUACCAUUGACAUUGUGCUAGGUCAGUAUAACCUUAGGAACCGAUGAGACUUUUAUUUCUUCUUCUUCUGUGUACUGACGCUGUGAUGGGUAUGAACUUCUGGAACAAAACUAUUUAGGUGUGAAGCGAUGCAAUGAUUCCAUGUCUUCCA